ACAGGGAUUGCCCUAGUAACGGCGAGUGAAGCGGCAACAGCUCAAAUUUGAAAUCUGGCGUCUUUGGCGUCCGAGUUGUAAUUUGCAGAGGGCGCUUUGGCGUUGGCAGCGGUCCAAGUUCCUUGGAACAGGACGUCACAGAGGGUGAGAAUCCCGUACGUGGUCGCUGGCCUUCGCCGUGUAAAGCCCCUUCGACGAGUCGAGUUGUUUGGGAAUGCAGCUCUAAAUGGGAGGUAAAUUUCUUCUAAAGCUAAAUACUGGCCAGAGACCGAUAGCGCACAAGUAGAGUGAUCGAAAGAUGAAAAGCACUUUGGAAAGAGAGUCAAACAGCACGUGAAAUUGUUAAAAGGGAAGCGCUUGCAACCAGACUUGCCUGCAGUUGCUCAUCUGGACUUUUGUCCAGUGCAUUCUUCUGUAGGCAGGCCAGCAUCAGUUUGGGCGGUUAGAUAAAGGUCUCUGUCAUGUACCUCUCUUCGGGGAGAACUUAUAGGGGAGACGACAUGUAACCAGCCUGGACUGAGGUCCGCGCAUUUGCUAGGAUGCUGGCGUAAUGGUUGUAAGCGGCCCGUCUUGAAACACGGACCAAGGAGUCUAACAUCUAUGCGAGUGUUUGGGUGUCAAGCCCGAGCGCGCAAUGAAAGUGAACGGAGGUGGGAACCCGCAAGGGUGCACCAUCGACCGAUCCUGAUGUCUUCGGAUGGAUUUGAGUAAGAGCAUAGCUGUUGGGACCCGAAAGAUGGUGAACUAUGCUUGAAUAGGGUGAAGCCAGAGGAAACUCUGGUGGAGGCUCGCAGCGGUUCUGACGUGCAAAUCGAUCGUCAAAUUUGGGCAUAGGGGCGAAAGACUAAUCGAACUAUCUAGUAGCUGGUUCCUGCCGAAGUUUCCCUCAGGAUAGCAGUGACGUAUUCAGUUUUAUGAGGUAAAGCGAAUGAUUAGAGGCCUGGGGGUUGAAACAACCUU
rnacentral:rRNA from 2 species